CAAUUUAUGAAUUUCUAUAAACACAAGUUUUAACCGGUCUCUCGAAAGCACUGAUGGAUGUUACUUAAAAUGCAUUCAAUAUAUAAAUACUGCUAUUGGGCCAACAUCCUUUUUGAAAUUGCAUCUCAAUUUGUGUAACACGGUUAGAAGAAUUGCAACCCAAUUGCUUUUUUCAUGGCACAUUAUUGAUAUCAUCUGUUAUAUCUUUCUGCUACACUGCUUGGAUAAUAUGCUGUGGUGAUAAGCAUAGUUAUUGUGGAUAGAGAUGCAAAUCUUAUUAUCCAAAAAGCACAAAAAUUGUGUUAGACCACUGUGUUAGCGGACAUGAUGUUAAUUGGGACUGUCUCAGGCCACCCAAAGAAGUCGAUCAACAGAAAACAAUAUUUAGGUGCAGCAAUAUUUUAUCUUGUAGUAAUAGAAUCAACUUUGAAUCAGUUUUUUGUUGAUUAGCUGGUUGCUGGGUGUUCAACACAAUUGAUAUGUUGAUCAUGUCCAACCACAACAAAGCAUCACCAACUUCAUUGGAAGAUUGUGAAAUGUGCAUAAUGUCUGUAAUAAACUGUCAAACGUAGUGAAUUUGUCAUAGUUGUCUCAGUGCUGCUUUAUCAGAUCUUUGAAAGAAAUUGUACAUAAGUGGUUUGUAAUUUGACUAAAUAGUAAAGUAGCAUCCUUCGGUAAAAUGCUUGAAAUGUUUUAUUGCUUUCAAA